rnacentral:rRNA from 1 species
UAUCUCUGUAGAGUCUGCAUAUCAAUAAGCGGAGGAAAAGAAACUAACUAGGAUUCCCUUAGUAACGGCGAGUGAAGCGGGAAGAGCUCAAAUUUGAAAUCUUCAAGGUUUUACCUUGACGAAUUGUAGUUUAAAGAAGUGUUUUCUGUUGGAGUUUCGGUAAAAGUUCUUUGGAAUAGGACAUCAUAGAGGGUGAGAAUCCCGUAUUUGACCAUUUAUUUCAGCUGUGUGAUACACUUUCAAAGAGUCGGAUUGUUUGGGAAUGCAGUCCAAAAUGGGUGGUAAAUUUCAUCUAAAGCUAAAUAUUGGCGAGAGACCGAUAGCGAACAAGUACCGUGAGGGAAAGAUGAAAAGAACUUUGAAAAGAGAGUUAAACAGUACGUGAAAUUGUCAAAAGGGAAGCGUUUGACACCAGUGUUGUUUUCUCGAAAAUCAAUUAAAAAUGGCGUGAUUUUGUGUUGUAUUGACCUAUAAGCUUUCUGCACUUUUUUCAUGUCUUUUUUAAUGCACUUUUCGUUUAACAAGUCAACAUCAGUUUCUUUUGUUGUAAAAAGGUCAUUGGAAGGUGGCUUUCUUUUCGGAGAAAGUGUUUAUAGCCUUUGACUCCUGCAAUCGGAGAGGCUGAGGUCUGCAGCGUAGAUCCUUCUUGGAUUAGAUUCAUUUGUGCUAAGUUAUAGCUUUUUAUAGACAACUUGUUGACUAUGAUUAAUCAUGUAGCUUACUCGCUUAUGCUAUUUUACCUACGCUUAGGAUGUUGAACCGCACAGAGUCUC